rfam:Ipomoea nil DNA, scaffold: scaffold0937, cultivar: Tokyo-kokei standard.
GCCUCUGUAGCAUAGUGGUAGUGCGUUCGCUUCGUAAGCGAAAGGUCGUGAGUUCGAUCCUCACUAGAGGCU